rnacentral:rRNA from 1 species
GACGAACGCUGGCGGCGUGCUUAACACAUGCAAGUCGAACGGUGAAGCGCCUUCCUUUUUGGUGGGUGUGGAUGAGUGGCGAACGGGUGAGUAACACGUGCGUAACCUGCCCCCUUCUUCUGGAUAACCGCAUGAAAGCGUGGCUAAUACGGGAUCUUCUGGGUCUGUCGCAUGAUGGGUCUGGGAAAGCUAUUGUUUCGGUGGGGGCUGGGCUCGCGGCCUAUCAGCUUGUUGGUGGGGUGAUGGGCUACGACGGCGUUGACGGGUAGCCGGCCACAGAGGGUGUGAGACACGAUCCGGACUGCGAUGGGGCGCAGCAGUGUAGGGGAGGGAGCAGUGGGCGCUAGUGUGAUGCGGCGGGGCCGCGUGUGCGAUGGAGGCCUGCGGGGGGUGAACGUCUUUCGCCAGUGAAGCAGGUCUGCCUCGGUUGUAGGUGGGUUGACGGUAGCUGGAUAAGAAGCGCCGGCUAACUACGUG